AUGGGACAUGUGGCAUUUUGCCACUUCCUGUCAGACCUUUUCUCUUCCAUCAGCAACUUCAGCCUGCAGCUUCAGAGAAACAAUGUAAUCCUACCUCAGGCUGUUAGUGGCAUCGAAUCUCUCUUGGCUACCAUAGAAGCUAUGGCAGCUAGCCCCAAACCUGAUGGUAAGCUGUCUGAGUUCCUUGCAGCCAUGAAGAAGCAGCGCCAACAGAGAGGAGGAGAACCUGGGGCUGGGACGUUCAAGUAUCAGGAAGUCACGCUUUCUAAAGGUGAAGCUGCAGAGCGUGCAGAAGGUCAACCAAUCAGCCAGUGUGCUCCCAGACUGCAAAGAGCCGUUGUGCUGACCUGUGAGUCCAAAGUGAAACACCUGAAGAAUAGAUUUAGCAGCCUACUUGAAGAGAACACAAAGGAUGCACCAACAGCCAAGGCAGUGAAGUGUUUCAAUGUCUUCAGCCAUGACUCUUGGCCAGAUAAUAGGCUGGAGCUCCUGAACCAUGGUGUGGAAGAGGUGAACUCUCUCCUACAACACUUCUCCACUGUCCUGGACAGGAAUGGCUGCAGCAAAGAAAAGGCCAAAGAGGAGUUCCAACUGAUGAAAAUGACGAUAAACACGUCAUUCAAGGACAAAAGCUAUCUUGGACUGUGGCAAGUCAUGACGACAAAAGAGCCCUACUGCUCAGACUUUGCGAAUAUCCUACGCCUGGUCCAAAUCAUGCUGGUGCUCCCAAUCUCUUCAGCAGUCUGUGAAAGAGGCUUCUCGUCAGUAAACAGAAUCAAGUCAGAUGCUAGAUCAGUUCAGUUUGAAUUAAUGAGCUUUAAGUUUAUAAGUUAUUUAUUAUGUCGUUUUUAAGUUACCAGUAAGUUCGAUGUUCAGAAUGUUAUGUUCAAUAUACGUUUAAUACAAUGUAACAGUAUUUUUGUACUGCGG
rnacentral:lncRNA from 1 species